GUAGGUGGCAAGCGUUGUCCGGAAUUAUUGGGCGUAAAGCGCGCGCAGGCGGUCCUUUAAGUCUGAUGUGAAAGCCCACGGCUCAACCGUGAGGGUCAUUGGAAACUGGGGGGACUUGAGUACAGAAGAGGAAAGCGGAAUUCCAAGUGUAGCGGUGAAAUGCGUAGAGAUUUGGAGGAACACCAGUGGCGAAGGCGGCUUUUCUGGUCUGUAACUGACGCUGAGGCGCGAAAGCGUGGGGAGCAAAACAGGGAUUAGAUACCCUGGUAGUCCACGCCGUAAACGAUGAGUGCUAAGUGUUAGGGGGGUUUCCGCCCCCUUAGUGCUGCAGCUAACGCAUUAAGCACUCCGCCUGGGGAUACGGCCGCAAGGCUG
rnacentral:rRNA from 1 species